rnacentral:rRNA from 1 species
GCUUAGAGUUUGAUCCUGGCUCAGAAUGAACGUUGGCGGCAUGGAUUAGGCAUGCAAGUCGAGCGAGAAGCUCUAGAUUGAAACUUCGGUCGAUUUCUAGGGUGGACAGCGGCGCAAGGGUGAGUAACGCGUAGUUACCUGCCCCAGGGUCCAGAAUAGCCUCGGGAAACUGAGGGUAAUGCUGGAUAAUAUCUCCGGAUCAAAGGUGAGAUUCCGCCCUGGGAGGGGACUGCGUACUACUAGCUUGUUGGUGGGGUAAUGGCCUACCAAGGCAACGAUGGUUAGCGGGCGUGAGAGCGUGGCCCGUCACACUGGGACUGAGACACUGCCCAGACACCUACGGGUGGCUGCAGUCGAGAAUCUUCCUCAAUGGGCGAAAGCCUGAAGGAGCAAUGCCGCGUGCGGGAUGAAGGCCCUCGGGUUGUAAACCGCGAAAGUAAGGAGGAAGGCUCUGUGAAGAGCAGAGUUUGACCAAUUUACAGUAAGGACGGGCUAAGUUCGUGCCAGCAGCCGCGGUAAGACGAACCGUCCAAACGUUAUUCGGAAUUAUUGGGCUUAAAGGGUGCGUAGGCGGCGCUGUAAGUCAGGUGUGAAAUCCCACGGCUCAACCGUGGAACUGCGCUUGAUACUGCAGUGCUUGAGGGAGACAGAGGUAAGCGGAACUGAUGGUGGAGCGGUGAAAUGCGUUGAUAUCAUCAGGAACACCAGUGGCGAAAGCGGCUUACUGGGUCUCUUCUGACGCUGAGGCACG